rnacentral:rRNA from 1 species
CUCGUAGGUGGCCAACUAAGUCAGACGUGAAAUCCCCAGGCUUAACCUGGGAACUGCGUCUGAUACUGGAUGGCUUGAAUUCGGGAGAGGGAUGCAGAAUUCCAGGUGUAGCGGUGAAAUGCGUAGAUAUCUGGAGGAAUACCGGUGGCGAAGGCGGCAUCCUGGACCGAGAUUGACACUGAGGAGCGAAAGCUAGGGGAGCAAACG